rnacentral:rRNA from 1 species
AUGGCCUACUAGCCGUGCAACCCAUACCCUCACCUCCCCGCAGGCACCACGAUCAUUGCUCCGGGCCCUGAACGCGCACAGCGAGGCUACGUCGUCCUCGGCGGUGAGCUCCCUAUGGUCUGUGAUGAGUGGGCUAUCGCUACUCUGGUUCCUGCUGUCCCCGAAGAUUUCCCUGCCGCCAAUGCAAUGAUCAUUGAGUACCUCGAAGCCAAGGGAUGGAGGAUCAACUACACCUCCAGAUGUGGUAUGGGUACUGCUCUGAUCCAAUUUACAACUGCUUGUUCGAGAGAUUCUGCCAUAAAUAAUAGUCCCUAUGAGAUCGGGGACCCUGUUCUUCGCAUUACCAGGCAUGAUAGGAGUUUGAACUACCGUAGCAUCACUUUUACCCAUGGUGUUUGGCUCAUGUUGAUGAACUAUCCCCUGGAAUGCUGGGAGGUAUGAGUUGUUAGCCGCACAGUCUCUCAAUACGAUAGAUUUCUGAUCUGGAACAAGGACCCGAGAGACAAAACUAGGAUUAUUGUUAAGAUCAGAGUUAUGAAUGUGGAUACUUUACCUGUCAGUAUUGUUGUUCUGCACAAUUUGGACGAUGUUGGGUAUGGUGAUUCAUGGACUUGUCCUACAUAUAUUCUAUCUUGUGAGCUCAUUGGCCAACUUGGUGGUGAUGAGGAUCCUCUUCCCCCCGAUGGAGGAAAUCCACAUCCUCUCCUGCAUGUUCAGGAGGGUUUUUGGCAUGACGAAGUCCUUGGUAACAUCCCCAUGGAGCAGGUUGUUAUCAACCCACACAAUGAGCAUCUUGGAGCUCCUUAUGAGGAUGUUCAUGCACCUGCUGCUGACAAUGUCAACAAUAAUCUAAAUGAGGUGCUCCCCACUGCUGUCAUGCCCACUCCUAUGCAGGUUGACUCUGCUGCACAUGCACUCAAUGAGGAGGUGCAGGAGGAUCAAAUGGACUUCAUUCCUGUGCCUGUAGAUGGAUCACAGGAUAUCCAAGCCAACAGUCCAGCUUUUGUGCCUGCUAAUGUGUCCAUGGAUUACGAGGAUGCACAUUUUACUAGGAAUGUUGAGCCAAACAACUAUAUGUCUGACGACAUCUCUGUUCUUCAGGGCCUCAUUGGCAAUAUUGUGUCCAAUGCCCAUGACAUGUUCCCAAACUGGGUGGCUCUAAAAUUGUCAAUGCUAAAUGUAACAUUGUGGAUGUUGAAGGCACUCAGGGUUUCAGCAAGAAGUGUUAUCUGCAAAUAA